GUCCACUUGGUUUUCGGUCGCCUUAGCGGUAAAGUGUAAGCGGGAAAUAUUGAUUUUUUCAGCGCCUCUCUUUGAUUUUCCCCAAAAUUAAUCGGACUCAGCCAUUCAAUCGCUCCAAAACCUAAUCUCCCUCAAUUGAACCAUCUACAUCCUCUGCUCCAACAUCACUGCCAACGAUCUGGUGAUUCAAGCGCCUCAAUUUCUCGAAACCCUAACCAUCCUCAAUCGCUCCAAAACCCUAAUCGCCCCCAAAUGUAACAGUCGUUUCACUUAAACAACAUCAUCAUCAUCAUUUGAUUAUGGUGAUUUUAGACUUGGAAUUGUGACAUUGCUAUGGACGUGAUCUAAGCUAGUUGUUAUUGUGUACCAGUCAACCAGUCAAGAACGAUUUCAUGAGUUUGCUUAACCGGGCUUAGUCAGGGAUAUAAAGGAGAUAAGGAGAAUUUGGAUAGAUGUGAAUAGGUUUUCACAUCUUAGUAAGAGCCUAUGCUAUGUGUUUUUGUCAGUAGAACAGAACAGGCAAGUUAUAUUUUUACUCUAAUGGUGAAGUUAAUCAUAUCAGUGAUGAUUUAAUUGUUUGUUACUGAAGUCAUGUCUAUCAGGAUCAAAUACCCCCUUUUUCAACCAAGAUCUUUAGGACAAGUAUAUAAAGGCUUGGUUCAGUUAUGUGUAUGGGAGCAAUGGCGGGUGACAAUAUUCUUACACUAUUUUCGAUAAAAUAUAGUGAAGGAGUAAGUGGUUUGAUACUUGUUUCCCCUAUAUGCAGAGCAACUUCUUGGAAUGAAUGGUUUUACAAAUUAGAAUAAGUUCAUGUCGAAAUUGCUUCAAUAUUGCGGUAUGUGUGACAUGCUAAAGGAGUUAUUGAUUCACAGAUGCUUCAGUAAGGCUGUCUCUGGUAGUCUAGAAGUCCCAGAAUCAGAAAUCGUUCGAGCAUGCAGGAAGAUUGAAAAGUUGAAAUUGGUUAUCAAGGAGUUCUUUAAGGAAAAGGAUGAGGAAAAAGAAGGAUUAAAUGGAAUUAUUGUUGGGUUGUUUGUUGUAAAUGAAAGAUAAGGUGGAUAAAGAUACCAUGCUCAAUAGGAUGUCAUAAGUUGAAGCGAUCACGGUUCGAAAAUAUACUAUAACACUUGGUUUUGAAUGUUUUGAUGUUUAUUGUAUUAGGAUGGUUUUGAAACAGAGAUGUUCUAUAUACAUUUUUGGGUUUUGUAAUUUUAUUGAGUGUUUUAUAUAAUUGUAAUUUUAUUGAAA